rnacentral:rRNA from 1 species
CAGCCGUAAACAAUGUGCGUUAGGUGUGUCGGUAACCACGUGUUACUGAUGCGCCGAAGAGAAAUCGUGAAACGCACCACCUGGGAAGUACGGUCGCAAGGCUGAAACUUAAAGGAAUUGGCGGGGGAGCACCACAACAGGUGGAGCCUGCGGUUUAAUUGGAUUCAACGCCGGACAUCUCACCGGAUAAGACAGCUGAAUGAUUGUCAAUCUGAAGGUUUUACAUGACUAGCUGAGAGGUGGUGCAUGGCGUCAGUGACU